rnacentral:lncRNA from 1 species
UUUUGCGUUUUUUGUGAUUUUUUAUUUUGCUUUUUUACUNUUUGUCGUUUUUUGUAUGAAAGUCCAAUAAAGGACGCACAUAAGACUCGUGACGCUUGUGACGCAUGUGACGCAUGUGACGCAUGUGACGCACUUUUUGCGUUUUUUGUGAAAUUUUAUUUUGCUUUUUUACUUUUUGUCGUUUUUCUUGUAAACCUAAUAAAAGAAGCUAGCGACACAAGCGACGCUUGUGAUGCAUGUGACGCAUGUGACGCAUGUGACGCACUUUUUGCGUUUUUUGUAAAAAUUUAUUUUGCUUUUUUACUUUUUGUCGUUUUUUUGGUAAACCUAAUAAAAGAAGCGAGUUACACAAGCGACGCUUGUGAUGCAUGUGACGCAUGUGACGCAUGUGACGCACUUUUUGCGUUUUUUGUAAAAAUUUAUUUUGCUUUUUUACUUUUUGUCGUUUUUUAUGAAAGUCCAACAAAGGACGUAUAUGACGCAUGUGCCGCACGUGACGCACUUUUCGGGGUUUUUCAGUUUUUUUCUUUUUCUGCGUUUUCCUUUUGUCUCGAAAGUUUAAUAAUAGACGCUAGUGACGCAAGGGACACAUGUGAUGCACGUGACGCUUGUGACGCAUGUGACGCAUGUGACGCAUGUGACGCACUUUUUGCGUUUUUUGUAAAAAUUUAUUUUGCUUUUUUACUUUUUGUCGUUUUUUUGAAAGUCCAAUAAAGGACGCACAUAAGACUCGUGACGCAUGUGACGCAUGUGACGCAUGUGACGCACUUUUUGUGUUUUUUGCUAAAUUUUAUUUUGCUUUUUUA